rnacentral:lncRNA from 1 species
AUGGCACCACCUGAGAGGUACUGCAUCCCAGGCGAAUGUCUGUGUAACUUGGAGGAAGGCAGCCCCAGCAAUUGCACCUACACACAGCACCUACACAAGAGGCUACAUCUUUUCUUUGCUGGCUGGUACCUGACAAAUGCCAGCAAGAAUGGCAUGGUUCCUGUGGUGUCUGUAAUGAGAGAAGCAGAUUCCCAGUUACUUCCAUGUGGGAGCUGUUAUCAAAUGUAAGGCCUCUAAUAUUAACUCACAUUUUGCCAAAGUACAUAUCCUGUAUGUAGGAUCCACACCACUUAAAAAUGCUUUUCGACAAAGUAUUUUCAAGGAAGCUAUCCGUGUAACUAAAAAAGGCAAGGUAGAAAUUUACAAGAGUUUCUGGUCAGGUUAAAAUAAUUUUGGCUAAAGUUAUCUCCCUAGGUGAUGCACAGUCCAAUUACCUGCUGAUUAUAGCUGAAAAUGAGUUAGGAGUUUUUGGUGGCCCACAGUGAGUCAGGUGUCUAGAUGGUUCUCAUCGGCUGGCGUGAAAUGCAGUGCCCCAAGACCCACAUUAAAAAUUCCCAAAAAGUAGCCAGAGUAUAGAAUCACUUCUUACAAACCUAA